UACGUAGGGGGCAAGCGUUGUCCGGAUUUAUUGGGCGUAAAGAGCGUGUAGGCGGUUAUACAGGUCCGCUGUGAAAACUGGAGGCUUAACCUCCAGACGUCGGUGGAAACCGUAUGACUAGAGUCCGGAAGAGGAGAGUGGAAUUCCUGGUGUAGCGGUGAAAUGCGCAGAUAUCAGGAAGAACACCCGUGGCGAAGGCGGCUCUCUGGGACGGUACUGACGCUUAGACGCGAAAGCGUGGGGAGCGAACAGG
rnacentral:rRNA from 1 species